rnacentral:rRNA from 1 species
CUGCUGCCUCCCGUAGGAGUUUGGACCGUGUCUCAGUUCCAAUGUGGGGGACCUUCCUCUCAGAACCCCUAUCCAUCGUCGUCUUGGUGGGCCGUUACCCCGCCAACUAACUAAUGGAACGCAUCCCCAUCGAUAACCGAAAUUCUUUAAUAUCAAGAUCAUGCGAUCUUGAUAUCCUAUCGGAUAUUAAUCUUUCUUUCGAAAGGCUAUCCCCGAGUUAUCGGCAGGUUGGAUACGUGUUACUCACCCGUGCGCCGGUCGCCA